GACGAACGCUGGCGGCGUGCUUAACACAUGCAAGUCGAACGGACAGGCGCUGCUUUUGUGGGGUGCUCGAUUGGCGAACGCGUGAGUAACACGUGAGUAACCUGCACUUAACUUUGUGAUAACUUCAGGAAACUGGGGCUAAUACCGGAUAGGAGCUCCUGCUGCAUGGUGGGGGUUGGAAAGUUUCGGCGGUUGGGGAUGGACUAGCUGCUUAUCAGCUUGUUGGUGGGGUAGUGGCUUACGAGGGCUGUGACGGAUAGCCGGCAUGAGAGGGUGAACGGCCACAUGGGGACUGAGAGACGGCGCAGAAGGCUACGUGAGGCAGCAGUGGGGAAUAUUGCACAGUGGGGGGAAGCCAGAGGUAGAAGCGCUGCGUGCGUGAUGACGUGUUACGAGUGAUAAACAGAUUUCGACUUAGACGAAGCGUGAGUGACGGUAAUGGGUAAAGAAGCACCGGCUAACUACGUG
rnacentral:rRNA from 1 species